rnacentral:rRNA from 1 species
AUUGAACGCUGGCGGCAGGCCUAACACAUGCAAGUAGGGAGAGAGGCGGACGGGUGAGAAAUUCAUGGGGAUCUGCCUGAUGGAGGGGGAUAACUACUGGAAACGGUAGCUAAUACCGCAUACCAUCAGAUGUACCCAUAUGGGAUUAGCUUGUAGGUUCGGUAACGACUCUCCUAGGCGACGAUCCCUAGCUGGUCUGAGAGGAUGAUCAGCCACACUGGGACUGAGACACGGCCCAGACUCCUACGGGAGGCAGCAGUGGGGAAUGUUGCACGAUGGGCGCAAGCCUGAUGCAGCCAUGCCGCGUGUAUGAAGAAGGCCUUCGGGUUGUAAAGUACUUUCAGUCGGGAGGCGUUACCGACAGAAGAAGCACCGGCUAACUCCGUGCCAGCAGCCGCGGUAAUUC